AUGCGGUGCUUCAAAAGCAAAAUUAAUAAACAAGUUUUCAUCAUUCACCAUCAAUCAUCAAUUCAAAAAUGGAAAACAACAAGAAGAAAUAGAGAUCAAGCAAGGCAAAUGUCCCUGAACAAUCAUGCUGAUAAUGGUUUCGGUUUCCGCUCUACUUCUACUCCUUAUGGUUCAGAUUUCUCAGUCAUCUUGCACAAUGUGAAUAACCUGAUUUUUGAAGACGAGUACAAAAGAUAUUAUGAUGUGUUCAUGGAAAAAGUUGUCGAUCAAGAGUAG